UACGUAGGGUGCGAGCGUUAAUCGGAAUUACUGGGCGUAAAGCGUGCGCAGGCGGUUCGUUGUGUCGGCGGUGAAAGCCCCGGGCUUAACCUGGGAAUGGCCGUUGAAACUGGCGAACUGGAGUGUGGCAGAGGGGGGUGGAAUUCCGCGUGUAGCAGUGAAAUGCGUAGAGAUGUGGAGGAAUACCGAUGGCGAAGGCAGCCCCCUGGGCCAAUACUGACGCUCAUGCACGAAAGCGUGGGGAGCAAACAGG
rnacentral:rRNA from 1 species